rnacentral:rRNA from 1 species
CAAUAGCGUAUAUUAAUGUUGUUGCAGUUAAAAAGCUCGUAGUUGGAUUUCUGGUGGGAGCGGCCGGUCCGCCGUAAGGUGUGUACUUGGUUGUCUCCUGUCAUCCUUGUGGGAACUGCUCUGGCAUUAAGUUGUCGGGGUUAGGGAACACAUCGUUUACUGUGAAAAAAUUAGAGUGUUUAAAGCAGGCUUAUGCCGUUGAAUACAUUAGCAUGGAAUAAUAAGAUAGGACUUUGGCGUCUAUUUUGUUGGUUUGCACACCAAGGUAAUGAUUAAUAGGGAUAGUUGGGGGUAUUCGUAUUUAAUUGUCAGAGGUGAAAUUCUUGGAUUUAUGAAAGGCGAACUUCUGCGAAAGCAUUUACCAAAGAUGUUUUCAUUAA